rnacentral:rRNA from 1 species
ACUCCUACGGGAGGCAGCAGUGGGGAAUAUUGCACAAUGGGCGCAAGCCUGAUGCAGCCAUGCCGCGUGUAUGAAGAAGGCCUUCGGGUUGUAAAGUACUUUCAGCAGUGAGGAAGGUGGGUCGUUAAUAAGCGGCCGUCAUUUGUACGUUAGCUGCAGAAGAAGCACCGGCUAACUCCGUGCCAGCAGCCGCGGUAAUACGGAGGGUGCGAGCGUUAAUCGGAAUUACUGGGCGUAAAGCGCAUGCAGGUGGUUUGUUAAGUCAGAUGUGAAAGCCCGGGGCUCAACCUCGGAAUUGCAUUUGAAACUGGCAGACUAGAGUACUGUAGAGGGGGGUAGAAUUUCAGGUGUAGCGGUGAAAUGCGUAGAGAUCUGAAGGAAUACCGGUGGCGAAGGCGGCCCCCUGGACAGAUACUGACACUCAGAUGCGAAAGCGUGGGGAGCAAACAGGAUUAGAUACCCUGGUAGGAUAGCGU